GCCGGGGUGGUGGAAUGGUAGACACCGGGGACUUAAAAUCCCCCGCCCAUUGGGCGUACCGGUUCGAGUCCGGUCCUCGGCA
rnacentral:tRNA from 1 species